GCGAGUUUCGCGUGUGUUAAAUCGUGCGACGUGCGACGUGACGUGUGUUCGCGUGGUGUCUCGCGAGAUAUACCGAUGAAUUUAAUGUUCGAGAAGAUCUGAUGGGAUUAGCUAUUGGUGCUCAUGAUGCAAAUAUUCAACAAGCGUGAAAAAUUGAUGACAUUACAAAUAUAGUUAGAAGAAAAUUCAUGCACAUUUAAGAUAUAUAGAGAGACGCAUGAAGCUGUUAAAAAAGACCGAUCUAUGCAGGAAUACAGCGGUAACCUAAAAAUAGAUAAGUGACAGUGUGACAGUCGUGACCAUCGCCGCGUGAUAGAUGAU